rnacentral:snRNA from 1 species
AGCCUUGCGCUCGGGCAAUACAGCGAGCAAUGAGGCUUAGCCGAGCUGUUGUUUGCUGAUUGAAAACUUUUACCAAUUGCCCGCCUUGGCCUGCGAAGGGCAGCCCUGUGCAAUUUUUGGACAGCCUUUCACGGC